UGUAAGCGUAUACCAAAGUUGUUGCAGUUAAAACGCUCGUAGUCGGAAUUUGGCAGUUCCGGAAGUGUGCACGUCGUGUGCGCACUUUGCGGGGACUGCUUUUGUGGUCUUGCGUAGGAUGAGGCACUUUCAUUAGUGAACGUCCUCACGCAACCACUCUUUACUGUGAGAAAAUCAGAGUGCUCAAAGCAGGCAUUUGCCGUGAAUGUAUUAGCAUGGAAUAAUAGAAUAGGACUCGGUUCUAUUUUGUUGGUUUGUUGGGACUGAGUAAUGAUUAAGAGGGACAGUUGGGGGCAUUUGUAUUCCGGCGCUAGAGGUGAAAUUCUUAGAUUGCCGGAAGACAAACUGCUGCGAAAGCGUCUGCCAAGGAUGUCUUCAUUGA
rnacentral:rRNA from 1 species